rnacentral:lncRNA from 1 species
GCAUUUCUAGCAAGUUCCCAGGUGAUGCUGGUAGAGCACACGCCCAGAACCACCGCCAGGUACACAAGUCACUGGACAAGGUGGGAAGGCAUCUUACUCAAUCAAUGGACCUUAUUCUAAAGCGGGAAGGGCACUGAGAGUAUAGGGAGGGUAUCUCUCAAAUGAGGAGUCUACGACCUGCUUCAGGGGAAGGCCAACAACUUCUUGGAUUUUAUGACCUGCUUCAGGGGAGAAGGACAAGGGAAGUACAGCGCCUACAACAAUGCAAAGGCUAGAAGGAAUGAAGGCAGGGACAUGGAAUGGAGAAUUUCCAUUUCACGGAUCCACAUAAACUGAAAAGGAACAAGAGUCGGUGAGACCAAAGAGCACUGAAGGCCAUGAACCACCACCAUUCUCAACCCCUGGGCCAGGCAAGAAAAGCCACGGUUCCUGGAAGGGAUGACGACAGGCUUACUGAAUUAUUUUCAUCCAUGCCCUUUUAAAAUAUGGUUGGUAGAAAUUUGCCAUUUGAGACUAGAAUCCCAUUCGGAAUCAUGUAAGUCUCUUUUGACUCCACGAGGACAUCUUUCACCCAGUUUUGGGAAAUCUGAGGAAUGGAUUCUUCUACAGACUGAUAAAAUAUCACAAGGUCCAAGAGUUUGUGUGAGAAAGAGGACAUCAAGUGAUGGAUGUGAACGUGGUAGACAUACAAUGGAAGGCAAGAAGGUAUCUCAACACAGCAGAACAAGACCCCAUGAGGAGCCCAGAAAAAAAAUAAAGAAGGUUCCUCACUGGUUAGGAAUUCAAAAGCAGUCCUGGCAACCUCAUAGCAUCUUUACCUCAGAAGCAGGCAGCUCUGGUUACUCCACCAUUUUCAGGAACAAGGUUUUUCUCUCCCCCUCUGCUGCAUUUCCUCUGCGGCUCCUGAUCCAUCUGCCUCUACCUUCUUCCUAGCAUCAAAUUUCCUCCCAGGAGACAACAUGAAUGGGUUAAGAAGUACCCAAUGAGGGCUGCUCCAACUGGACAGCAUCUUUGAAACUGGGACCUCACAGAUGGUCAUCACAGGCCCCUGAUGCCUGGGUACCCAGCGACCAACCCCAGUCUAGUCUGUCUAUAGCAACAUAGGUGAAGGGGAGUCUCAGGGGCUGCCUAAAGGGCUCAGAAUGUGGUGAGUACUUAAGACUGCAUGGAUUUUCACUGUUUACAUGAAUAUAGGACAAGUAUUCACAGAACUAUUAGCUAGAUCUGUGAACAAAACAUUAAUAACAUUGUAUGUCCAUGUCUGAACCCCUGAAAUUCCAACAACCACCACCCGCCUACCAACUUGCAGCAAACCGGCUCUCUCCACAGUCUUCCCCAGAUCAGGGAGAAACAAUUCCAUCCUUCCAGUACUCAGACUGUAAAACUGGAUUCAUUCUGAUUCCUCUCUCACACAUCCCACACCUGAUCUGACAGGAAAUCCUAUAAACUCUGCCAUUAAAAUAUAUCCAGAAACAGGCCAGGCACAAUGGCUCAUGCCUCUAAUCCCAGCACUUUGGGAGGUCGAGGCGGGCGGAUCAUGAGGUCAGGAGUUCGAGACCAGCUUGGCCUACAUGGCAAAACCCUGUCUCUACUAAAAAUACAAAAAUUAGCUAGGUGUGGUGAUGCACACCUGUAAUCCCAGCUACUUGGGAGGCUGAGCUAGGAGAAUCACUUGAACCCGGGAGGCACAGGCUGCAGUAAGCCAAGAUCGUGCCACUGCACUCCAGCCUGGGCGACAGAGUAAGACUC